UACGUAGGGGGCUAGCGUUGUCCGGAAUCAUUGGGCGUAAAGCGCGCGUAGGCGGCUACUUAAGUCGGAUGUGAAAGCCCCCCGGCUCAACUGGGGAGUGUCGUGCGAUACGGUCGGACUGGAGGCCAGUAGGGGGAUGCGGAAUUCCGGGUGUAGUGGUGGAAUGCGUAGAGAUCCGGAGGAACACCAGCGGCGAAGGCGGCAUCCUGGACUGGUCCUGACACUCAUGAGCGAAAGCGUGGGGAGCGAGUCCGG
rnacentral:rRNA from 1 species